UACGGAGGAUGCGAGCGUUAUCCGGAUUUAUUGGGUUUAAAGGGUGCGCAGGCGGAUUUUUAAGUCAGCGGUCAAAUCGUGGGGCUCAACCCCAUCCAGCCGUUGAAACUGGGGAUCUAGAGUGUGCGAGAGGUAUGCGGAAUGCGUGGUGUAGCGGUGAAAUGCAUAGAUAUCACGCAGAACCCCGAUUGCGAAGGCAGCAUAUCGGUGCACAACUGACGCUCAGGCACGAAAGCGUGGGUAUCGAACAGG
rnacentral:rRNA from 1 species